rnacentral:tRNA from 2 species
GGUCCUGUAGCUCAGUUUGGUCAGAGCAUCGUCCUGAUAUCACGUCAGAUACGGCGGAGGUCGCCAGUUCAAGCCUGGUCAGGACCA